UGGGGAAUCUUGCGCAAUGGGCGAAAGCCUGACGCAGCGACGCCGCGUGGGGGAUGAAGCUUUUCGGAGUGUAAACCCCUUUCGACUGGGAAGAAUGCCCGCAAGGGAGCGACGGUACCAGUAGAAGAAGCCCCGGCUAACUACGUGCCAGCAGCCGCGGUAAGACGUAGGGGGCCAGCGUUGUUCGGAAUUACUGGGUGUAAAGGGUUCGUAGGCGGUGCGGCAAGUUGGGAGUGAAAUCUCUGGGCUUAACCCAGGGGCUGCUUCCAAAACUGCUGUGCUUGAGUGUGAGAGAGGCUCGUGGAAUUGCAGGUGUAGCGGUGAAAUGCGUAGAUAUCUGCAGGAACACCCGUGGCGAAAGCGGCGAGCUGGAUCACAACUGACGCUGAGGAACGAAAGCUAGGGGAGCAAACAGG
rnacentral:rRNA from 1 species